CACCCUGAUCUCCCCCUAUCUCUCUGUCCUCUCUCCCUUAUCUCUUUCUCUCCCGAUCUGAGUGGCGGCUACAUCCACUUUCUCUCCUCUCAUUUAUAUGGAGCUCCGCCCCGAAGUGGAGGAAAGGGUACGCGACCGUCGAUCUAUGUGCGUCUAGGCAUGGAGGGCACCCUCCUCUCGCGCUCCUUCUUCGUCUGGAGCGCUAGCAUCCCAGACAGCGUAGAUCCACUACCCCUACGUCCGCCCCACGCCGGCCGCCGGUGGCUCGCAUAGAUCUGUUCCUCCCCCACCUGCCGCACGCGACAGAGCAUGCUGCCAUGUUGUUUUGGUGCAGCCAGACCGCCGCCCCUACCCUCACGCUCCGGGUAGAGGCUCGUUCUUCUUGGUGGUGACUACACGUUCCUUCCCGGUGGUGGCACUCUUCCUGCCGUCUUAUGUUUCUCCCAGCGGCUGCGCCCUUUGACACCUACCUCGAAUCAAUCAAUUCGUCAAUAGAGAGAUGAAGCUCCAAAGAAGUGUGAUGAGGAAAAAGCCGGUACACCUCUACUCUUUGUAGUAUAUAAGAGAGGACGACUAAACUAAUAUUGCCAACAUAUAUGUUUGUUGUCCUUGACCUGGAUACCGAUGACACUCUUUUUCUUUCAGUUUGUAGUUGGUUUGCAUUGCUUCAACAAAAGAAUUUUGUCUGAAUGUGGUAAAUAACAGUUGGUCUAGAGUCAUAUGGGUACAGUGCAGCAUAUCAACUCUGCCCCUACACAAUAUACAUGUCAUUAGUCAUUACUUAUUUCUUAAGAAAUAACUUGUUUUGUUGUUUUCUGUUGUGAACUACAUGAUAUGGACAUUUCACUCCAGUUUGUGCUAUUUUUUAACUCAAAUUGACAUGUUGAUAUGUCAUCCUAGAAUUUUGUUGUUCCUAUUGGGACCUAUAUUAUCAAUUUUACACCUUGCAGAAUUUAUGACUAACAGGUUAUAUGCUGGUAUCUUACUCUGUGGAUUUCGACAUUGGACGUUUGACCAAAAUCAUAUACUGGAGAAUGCUUGUAUUAUAAUAGAAGGUAGACUUACCAAUCGGAUAGAGUGAACAAUACUUAUAUUAGUGUUUUCCAUUGUAUUGCAUGUGCAUUGUGGUCACUAGUAUCAAUCCAUAGAAAUUACGCUGUAUGCUGAUGGAUGAAAUGAAUAGUACCUAUAUCCUGACUUGCCACUACUAUAUUGUAGCUUCUAAAACACUUGUAUGCACAGAUAGUUUCUCUUGGUUAUUAUAACUGAAACAUUAUUGAGAUAAAUCUCGCUCAGUUUUUCAAGUGGGGAAGGAAAGCUUCAAGAUGUUCCACUUAAAGCGCUGAUAUCUAUAUGAUGGUUUAUAAUCUACCAGUGGAACUUUAAAUGAUACAGUUUACCAAUUUCAACAAAGUGUGUUAGCAGAUUAAGUAAAAAAAGUGUUACAUAUGAAAUGAACUGGAUUCAACCAUUCUCUAGAAGAAAGAAACUAUUUGUCAUAUCGUGAUAUUAUCUUGUAGAAUAACAACAGGGAUAUGUUGACAUUUGACACUUAUGAUGUCCUUUUUCCAUGAUGCUUCGCCUACUGUUAAUAUCCUCUUCUCCAACUGACACAUUCUUGCAAGCAAUCACUAUUGAUGAAAUAGUUAUGAGCACUUUUCUUGUAGAGUAUAAUAGAUCUUUUAUAUGGAACUAUUCAGUUGACUUGUGAAGGAAUAGCUAAUGUCAUGCUUGAAUAACUGGGUUGUUGUCAUGACCUUAACAGUGCAAAGCUAUGCAUAUAAAGUUGUCAUGCUUGUAUAAGUGGGCAGUACAUAAAGCUGCUGUUGUGACCUUAACCAUCCAAAACUAAUGAAAAAAUUUGAGAUGUGCUAGUGUGUAUACUAUAUUGGAACAUAAUGCAUAGUUCCUGUAUGUGCAGCAAUUCAAUUGCCCUGUGAAGUAAUAGUUGAUGCCAUGCUUGUAAGUGGGUCGGUUUCAUUACCUUAACAGUGCAAAGCUAUGCACGUAUCAUUCACAUUUUAUUUUGAAUUUCCCUUCAGCAAUUACUUGUGAAUGUUUCAGCACUAAACUGUAUUUGGCUGAGUAUAUCAAUAUUCAAACUUGUUUGUGUCGCUUUCACUAUUUUGUGAGCCUUUAAUUGCUCUAGUGUUCACAUCUUUCGUCUUGGAUACUAUAUCUGUUAUUUGACCUGACUAGACGCUUAUUUAUGAUUAUCACAGAUAAAAAUGAUAUUUUUUUAUGUUUGUUGUCGAUUUUCAAGAAACAAAGUAGUUGCUGCCUAAAUCUGGAACAUUUCCUAGACUUGUAUUAUUAAUGUAGUCUGACCAUCUUUAUUUCCAACAACAUAUACUAUUAGCAGAUGUUGGAAUUCAUAUUGGCUUUAUACAAAAGAAUUUUUUUUCUUAUAGUAUUGUUCUAUUGGUGAAGUGAAUAUUAAAAUAAUUUAUCUCGAGGAGAAACUGAAAGAAUUCCAGAUCUUGAUGAAUGUAUACCUUGGUUGUGAGGAUCUGAAGAAACCCUUUUUCCAUUGCAGGUAGUGGAGCAAGAUUUCUUAUAUCUGGGUGAGGGCAUCAAUCAAUGUUGGGACAAGGAAUCUCAUCACUACAAUAUAUAGCUAACCCAGUGGACCAAGCGUGUUCUUGAGCAUAGCGAGACGAAAAACAUCUUUCCUGAGUUGGCAUGUGAAGGAAACAAACCAAAGGAGUGCACUCACACGGAACCAUGAAGCCAAUGAUCUACGUCAACUAGAUGUUUUAGAUUUCAUUUUGUACCACUGAUGUCUCAUACUUGCAUCUUUUACCUGUCCUUUUGUGAACUUGAUGAUGGUGUCUUGGUGGUAAUAUUUAGAACAGAAUGAAGUGUAUGUAUGUGACAAAUAGUUGUGUAUGUAUGUGAAAAAUAGUUAAUGGAACAAAAAUAUUUGGUGCA